rnacentral:rRNA from 1 species
UGGGGAAUUUUUGACAAUGGGCGAAAGCCUGAUCCAGCAAUGCCGUGUGUGAAGAAGGCCUUCGGGUUGUAAAGCACUUUUGUCCGGAAAGAAAUGGCUCUGGUUAAUACCUGGGGUCGAUGACGGUACCAGAAGAAUAAGGACCGGCUAACUACGUGCCAGCAGCCGCGGUAAUACGUAGGGUCCAAGCGUUAAUCGGAAUUACUGGGCGUAAAGCGUGCGCAGGCGGUUGUGCAAGACCGAUGUGAAAUCCCCGAGCUUAACUUGGGAAUUGCAAUGGUGACUGCACAGCUAGAGUGUGUCAGAGGGGGGUAGAAUUCCACGUGUAGCAGUGGAAUGCGUAGAGAUGUGGAGGAAUACCGAUGGCGAAGGCAGCCCCCUGAGAUAACACUGACGCUCAUGCACGAAAGCGUGGGGAGCAAACAGG